UACGUAGGGUGCGAGCGUUGUUCGGAAUCACUGGGCGUAAAGCGCGUGUAGGCGGCCCACUAAGUCUGAUGUGAAAGCCCGGGGCUCACCCCCGGAAGUGCAUUGGAAACUGGUGGACUCGAGUCCCGGAGAGGAGAGUGGAAUUCCUGGUGUAGCGGUGAAAUGCGUAGAUAUCAGGAGGAACACCGGUGGCGAAGGCGGCUCUCUGGACGGUGACUGACGCUGAGACGCGAAAGCGUGGGGAGCAAACAGG
rnacentral:rRNA from 1 species